AGAGUUUGAUCCUGGCUCAGAUUGAACGCUGGCGGCAUGCUUUACACAUGCAAGUCGAGCGGCAGCGCGGGGGCAACCCUGGCGGCGAGCGGCGAACGGGUGAGGAACACAUCGGAACGUACCCCGGAGUGGGGGAUAACGCCGCGAAAGCGGCGCUAAUACCGCAUAUGCUCUGCGGAGGAAAGUGGGGGACCUGCAAGGGCCUCACGCUCUGGGCGCGGCCGAUGUCCGAUUAGCUAGUUGGUGGGGUAAUGGCUCACCAAGGCGACGAUCGGUAGCUGGUCUGAGAGGAUGAUCAGCCACACUGGGACUGAGACACGGCCCAGACUCCUACGGGAGGCAGCAGUGGGGAAUUUUGGACAAUGGGGGCAACCCUGAUCCAGCCAUGCCGCGUGCGGGAAGAAGGCCUUCGGGUUGUAAACAGCUUUUAGCCGGGAAGAAAAGGCGACUCUUAAUACGGGUCGUUCUGACGUACCGGCGAAAAGGCCCCGA
rnacentral:rRNA from 1 species